CCUACGGGAGGCAGCAGUGAGGAAUAUUGGUCAAUGGCCGAAAGUCUGAACCAGCCAUGCCGCGUGAAGGUCAAUGCCCUAUUGGCUUUAAACUUCUUUUUUUCGGGGGCAAUAAUGAUCACGUGUGGCCAGGCGACAUUACCUUACUAAUAAGCAUCGGCUAACUCCGUUCCCACAGCCGGGGUAAUACCGGGGAUGCAAGCGGUAUCCGGGGUUAUUGGGUUUAAAGGGUGCGUAGGCUGUGAGGUAAGUCAGCGGUGAAAUGCCCCCGGUCAACGGGGGGAAGUGCCAUUGAUACUGCCUGGAUGGAAUGAGGAUGCGGUGGGAGGAAUGCGUGGGGUAGCGGUGAAAUGCAUAGAUAUCACACAGAACACCGAUUGCGAAGGCAGCCUACGAAUCCGUGAUUGACGCUGAUGCACGAAAGCGUGGGUAUCAAACAGGAUUAGAUACCCGAGUAGUC
rnacentral:rRNA from 1 species